CGUAGGGACCGAGCGUUGUCCGGAUUCAUUGGGCGUAAAGAGCUCGUAGGCGGCUGUUCAAGUCGAACGUGAAAACUCGGGGCUCAACUCCGAGCCUGCGUUCGAUACUGGACGGCUAGAGUCUGGUAGGGGGAUCUGGAAUUCCUGGUGUAGCGGUGGAAUGCGCAGAUAUCAGGAGGAACACCGGUGGCGAAGGCGGGAUCCUGGGCCAGUACUGACGCUGAGGAGCGAAAGACGUGGGGAGGCAAACAAGGAUUAGAUACCCUGGUAGUCCACGCCGUAAACGAAUGGGCGCUAGGUGUGGGAGGUCAUCGACUCCUUCCGUGCCGCAGCUAACGCAUUAAGCGCCCCGCCCUGGGAGUACGGCCGCAAGGCUA
rnacentral:rRNA from 1 species